UCAGGUUAGAGUCCUGGACGGUCCCGCCACUGUAAAUGCUAGAGCAUGAGUCAGG
rnacentral:ncRNA from 2 species